rnacentral:rRNA from 1 species
AGUGAACGCUGGCGGUAGGCCUAACACAUGCAAGUCGAACGGCAGCACAGUAAGAGCUUGCUCUUACGGGUGGCGAGUGGCGGACGGGUGAGGAAUACAUCGGAAUCUACUUUUUCGUGGGGGAUAACGUAGGGAAACUUACGCUAAUACCGCAUACGACCUACGGGUGAAAGCAGGGGAUCUUCGGACCUUGCGCGAUUGAAUGAGCCGAUGUCGGAUUAGCUAGUUGGCGGGGUAAAGGCCCACCAAGGCGACGAUCCGUAGCUGGUCUGAGAGGAUGGUCAGCCACACUGGAACUGAGCCACGGUCCAGACUCCUACGGGAGGCACCAGUGGGGAAUAUUGGACAAUGGGCGCAAGCCUGAUCCAGCCAUACCGCGUGGGUGAAGAAGGCCUUCGGGUUGUAAAGCCCUUUUGUUGGGAAAGAAAAGCAUCAGGUUAAUACCCCGCUGUUCUGACGGUACCCAAAGAAUAAGCACCGGCUAACUUCGUG